rnacentral:rRNA from 1 species
AGUGAACGCUGGCGGUAGGCCUAACACACGCAAGUCGAACGGCAGCACAGUAAGAGCUUGCUCUUACGGGUGGCGAGUGGCGGACGGGUGAGGAAUACAUCGGAAUCUACUUUUUCGUGGGGGAUAACGUAGGGAAACUUACGCUAAUACCGCAUACGACCUACGGGUGAAAGCAGGGGAUCUUCGGACCUUGCGCGAUUGAAUGAGCCGAUGUCGGAUUAGCUAGUUGGCGGGGUAAAGGCCCACCAAGGCGACGAUCCGUAGCUGGUCUGAGAGGAUGAUCAGCCACACUGGAACUGAGACACGGUCCAGACUCCUACGGGAGGCAGCAGUGGGGAAUAUUGGACAAUGGGCGCAAGCCUGAUCCAGCCAUACCGCGUGGGUGAAGAAGGCCUUCGGGUUGUAAAGCCCUUUUGUUGGGAAAGAAAAGCAGCAGGUUAAUACCCCGCUGUCCUGACGGUACCCAAAGAAUAAGCACCGGCUAACUUCGUG